rnacentral:ncRNA from 1 species
UCAAUAGCUAUGACAAAGGCGUAGUACAAUCACCCUCUGACUUUUAGAGAGCUUGUGGCUGGUGGAAACAAGCAUCAAGGUGAAUUGGAAUUGGACUUUCGAGCUAACUAACAGUUAAAGUGAUUCUGCAUAUGCAGAAUAAUAAGGGUGGCACCGCGGUUCAUUCGUCCCUAUU